GCAGACACAUUCCAGCCAAUCAGCAGCAGACCCUCCCUCCCAGACCCUCCCAUCUCCUGGACAGCAUCCAUUUUAUAUUCAUUGUGAAGUUGCAUUCUUAGUGAACUGUCCAGGAGGUGGGAGGGUCUGGGGGGGAGGGUCUGCUGCUGAUUGGCUGGAAUGUGUCUG
rnacentral:miRNA from 1 species